AUUGAACGCUGGCGGCAUGCCUUACACAUGCAAGUCGAACGGCAGCACGGGUGCUUGCACCUGGUGGCGAGUGGCGAACGGGUGAGUAAUACAUCGGAACGUACCUUAUCGUGGGGGAUAACGCAGCGAAAGCUGUGCUAAUACCGCAUACGCCCUGAGGGGGAAAGCGGGGGAUCGCAAGACCUCGCGCGAUUAGAGCGGCCGAUGCCUGAUUAGCUUGUUGGUGGGGUAAAAGCCCACCAAGGCGACGAUCAGUAGCUGGCCUGAGAGGACGAUCAGCCACGCUGGGACUGAGACACGGCCCAGACUCCUGCGGGAGGCAGCAGUGGGGAAUUUUGGACAAGGGGGGCAACCCUGAUCCAGCAAUGCCGCGUGAGUGAAGAAGGCCUUCGGGUUGUAAAGCUCUUUUGUCAGGGAAGAAACACCGGCUCUAACACAGUCCGGGAAUGACGGUACCUGAAGAAUAAGCACCGGCUAACUACGUGCCAGCCGCCGCCGUAA
rnacentral:rRNA from 1 species